UGCCUGUCUGUCUGGUCCAGGGAAUUAGGCACAGCGUGCAGUGCGCCAGGCGGGGCGGAGGGGCUGGAAGGAGCGGGAAUGGGAAUUCAGCACCUGCGUCUGGGUAGUGGCUUGGUUCUGCCACCAGCUAAAUAGGCAAAGGAGGGAAGGAAGCAGAAGAUGACAUCACAGGAGGGAGUAUUUGGACCUUACCAUUUGGAUACAAGACUUGAUGCAAAGGACACUUUACCCCCAAGGAAGAUUUGAAUUAAAACACUUAAUUCAGUGGAUAAGCAACAGGUCCUGCUGUAUAGCACAAGGAACUCUAUCUAGUCACUUGUGAUGGAACA